CCCUUAGAUGUUUUGGGCCGCACGCGCGCUACACUGAUGCAUUCAACGAGUUUUUCCUGGUCCGAGAGGAAUGGGUAACCUUUUGAAAGUGCAUCGUGCUAGGGAUAGACUAUUGCAAUUAUUGGUCUUCAACGAGGAAUUCCUAGUAGACGUAGUUCAUCGGACUGCAUCGAUUACGUCCCUGCCCUUUGUACACACCGCCCGUCGCUCCUACCGAUUGGAUGAUCCGGUGAGCUAUUCGGACCUUCGCUUCGUCGAUUUUCGGCUUUGUGAGGGAAAGUCUCGCGAACCUUAUCAUCUAGAGGAAGGAGAAGUCGUAACA
rnacentral:rRNA from 1 species